rnacentral:lncRNA from 1 species
AUGCUGGAAUGUGAAGUCAAGUGGGCCUUAGAAAGCAUCACUAUGAACAAAGCUAGUGGAGGUGAUGGAAUUCCAGUUGAGCUAUUUCAAAUCCUAAAAGAUGAUUCUGUGAAAGUGCUGUACUCAAUAUGCCAGCAAAUUUGGAAAACUCAGCAGUGGCCACAGGACUGGAAAAGGUCAGUUUUCAUUCCAAUCCCAAAGAAAGGCAAUGCCAAAGAAUGCUCAAACUACCGCACAAUUGCACUCAUCUCACAUGCUAGUAAAGUAAUGCUCAAAAUUCUCCAAGCCAGGCUUCAGCAAUAUGUUUACCGUGAACUUCCUGAUGUUCAAGCUGGUUUUAGAAAAGGCAGAGGAACCAGAGAUCAAAUUGCCAACAUCUGCUGGAUCAUCGAGAAAGCAAGAGAGUUCCAGAAAAACAUCUAUUUCUGCUUUAUUGACUAUGCCAAAGCCUUUGACUGUGUGGAUCACAAUAAACUGUGGAAAAUUCUGAAAGAGAUGGGAAUACCAGACCACCCAACCUGCCUCCUGAGAAACCUACAUGCAGGUCAGGAAGCAACAGUUAGAACUGGACAUGCAACAACAGACUGGUUCCAAAUAGGAAAAGGAGUACAUCAAGGCUGUAUAUUGUCACCCUGCUUAUUUAACUUAUAUGCAGAGUACAUCAUGAGAAACGCUGGACUGGAAGAAGCACAAACUGGAAUCAAGAUUGCCAGGAGAAAUAUCAAUAACCUCAGAUAUACAGAUGACACCACCCUUAUGGCAGAAAGUGAAGAAGAACUAAAAAGCCUCUUGAUGACAGUGAAAGAGGAGAGUGAAAAAGCUGGCUUAAAACUCAACAUUCAGAAAACGAAGAUCAUGGCAUCUGGUCCCAUCACUUCAUGGGAAAUAGAUGGGGAAACAGGGGAAACAGUGCCAGACUUUAUUUUUUGGGGCUCAAAAAUCACUGCAGAUGGUGAUUGCAGCCAUGAAAUUAAAAGACGCUUACUCCUUGGAAGGAAAGUUAUGACCAACCUAGAUAGCAUAUUCAAAAGCAGAGAUAUUACUUUGCCAACAAAGGUCCAUCUAGUCAAGGCAACAGUUUUUCCAGUGGUCAUGUAUGGAUGUGAGAGUUGGACUGUGAAGAAAGCUGAGCACCAAAGAAUCGAUGCUUUUGAACUGUGGUGUUGGAGAAGACUCUUGAGAGUCCCUUGGACUGUAAGGAGAUCCAACCAGUCCAUCCUAAAAGAGAUCAGUCCUGGGUGUUCAUUGGAAGGACUGAUGCUGAAGCUGAAACUCCAAUACUUUGGCCACCUCAUGUGA